GAUGAACGCUGGCGGCGUGCCUAAUACAUGCAAGUCGAGCGAACAGAUGAGGAGCUUGCUCCUCUGACGUUAGCGGCGGACGGGUGAGUAACACGUGGAUAACCUACCUAUAAGACUGGGAUAACUUCGGGAAACCGGAGCUAAUACCGGAUAAUAUAUUGAACCGCAUGGUUCAAUAGUUAAAGACGGUUUUGCUGUCACUUAUAGAUGGAUCCGCGCCGCAUUAGCUAGUUGGUAAGGUAACGGCUUACCAAGGCAACGAUGCGUAGCCGACCUGAGAGGGUGAUCGGCCACACUGGAACUGAGACACGGUCCAGACUCCUACGGGAGGCAGCAGUAGGGAAUCUUCCGCAAUGGGCGAAAGCAUGACGGAGCAACGCCGCGUGAGUGAUGAAGGUCUUCGGAUCGUAAAACUCUGUUAUUAGGGAAGAACAAAUGUGUAAGUAACUAUGCACGUAUUGACGGUACCUAAUCAGAAAGCCACGGCUAACUACGUG
rnacentral:rRNA from 1 species